CGCUAUACUAAACAAUAAGGUUUUCUCCAGAAAGGAAACCUGUUACUGGAACACACACCUUUAGAAUGUAUCCUCCUUGUGUUCGAAUCCUCACACCUUACAUUAAUCUAGAUGGAACCAAGAGUGUUGAAGAUCAUAGCUCCUAGAAGACUGUAGAAAAGUUCAUUUACCUUCCCUCUCUGCAACUAGUCGACAUUGAAUGGCGAAUGGCGAUUUUCAUGGUCCAGUCACAAAGUACUGCAAUAUGUAACAGGAGGAGAUGUUCAACUACAACAUCUCGUUGCAGGCGCAACAAUCCGGAAAUCUGGAGCAUUCUGAUUUAAGCAUCGAAGAGAGCGGCAUUGCGAUCCCCUCCCGAUUCUCCCCUUUUGCAGGUGAUAUGUCACAUGUACAAUCAUUUUAAUUGGGGAUCAUCUUCACCGUACAGUCAUCAUAGUUCGGGUUCAUCUUCGUUGCUAUGUCACAAAUACCUUGU